rnacentral:lncRNA from 1 species
UUUAUUAAGCUCUUGUUACUACACUCAAUUGAUUCUAACAUUAAAACCCCUUUUUCUUUAUUUAUCCCAUCAAAUUUGUAUAGAGAUUAUAAAGUUUCUCAUGAAACUCCUUUAAUUCCAAAAAAAUCCCAGAUUUCUUCUUGAAUAAACCCACCUCAAAUACUACCCUUUCUUUCUCUUCGUCACUUUGUUCUCCCUCUAUAGUUUGUCCUAAUCUCUCUUUCUCUCUAUUUAGCCACUACUCGAUGAUUAUAUAACAAACUAAACUAUGUAAAUCAAUAUCUAGAUUGAUGUUCUAGAUUUGCAAGUAAUAAACAAAUUUUAAUUUUGAGAAAACUUGAGGUUUGGUGAGAAUGGUGGAGCUAUUUGGUAUUUAUUUAUUAUUAUUUUUUUUGGCAUCAUACAUAGAAAACAACAGCUGAAAAAGGCGCCAACAUGCUUUUCCUUACCAAUAGCUUUUGCUUUGGCUUGAGGACAUUUCUCCAGUCUUUACUUGUGAAUUUUCUUUUGAUCUUAAUGAAGUUACCA